CUGGCAGAGGCUGAACAUCAUUAGAUUCAGAAAAAGUUGAAGGCAAGGUAUUUUGGUCUCAAAGUCAAUAAGAAUGAAUUCCUUUGGAUUGGGAAACCUGUGUUUAAUCCUGUUUCACUGUAUCUAUCAGAUUUAUGCCUUGGAAAAUAUACAGGAAGAUUUUCAGGGAGUUGCAAAUGAAGAAAUGAAACUAAGUAAUCCACUGAAAUUGAUCACAGAAGCAAAACCCAGAC